rnacentral:rRNA from 1 species
GAUGAACGCUGGCGGCGUGCCUAAUACAUGCAAGUCGAGCGAACAGACGAGGAGCUUGCUCCUCUGACGUUAGCGGCGGACGGGUGAGUAACACGUGGAUAACCUACCUAUAAGACUGGGAUAACUUCGGGAAACCGGAGCUAAUACCGGAUAAUAUAUUGAACCGCAUGGUUCAAUAGUGAAAGACGGUUUUGCUGUCACUUAUAGAUGGAUCCGCGCCGCAUUAGCUAGUUGGUGAGGUAACGGCUUACCAAGGCAACGAUGCGUAGCCGACCUGAGAGGGUGAUCGGCCACACUGGAACUGAGACACGGUCCAGACUCCUACGGGAGGCAGCAGUAGGGAAUCUUCCGCAAAGGGCGAAAGCUUGACGGAGCAACGCCGCGUGAGUGAUGAAGGUCUUCGGAUCGUAAAACUCUGUUAUUAGGGAAGAACAAAUGUGUAAGUAACUAUGCACGUCUUGACGGUACCUAAUCAGAAAGCCACGGCUAACUACGUG